UGGGGAAUAUUGCACAAUGGGCGAAAGCCUGAUGCAGCCAUACCGCGUGUAUGAAGAAGGCCUUAGGGUUGUAAAGUACUUUCAGCGAGGAGGAAAGGUGGUAAAUUAAUACUUUAUCACUGUGACGUUACUCGCAGAAGAAGCACCGGCUAACUCCGUGCCAGCAGCCGCGGUAAUACGGAGGGUGCAAGCGUUAAUCGGAAUUACUGGGCGUAAAGCGCAUGCAGGCGGUUUGUUAAGCGAGAUGUGAAAGCCCCGGGCUCAACCUGGGAACUGCAUUUCGAACUGGCAAACUAGAGUUCUUGAGAGGGUGGUAGAAUUUCAGGUGUAGCGGUGAAAUGCGUAGAGAUCUGAAGGAAUACCAGUGGCGAAGGCGGCCACCUGGCAAGUAACUGACGCUCAGAUGCGAAAGCGUGGGUAGCAAACGGGAUUAGAUACCCCGGUAGUCCACGCCGUAAACGAUGUCUACUCGGAGUUUGGUUCCUUGAGAACUGGGCUCUUAAGCUAACGCAUUAA
rnacentral:rRNA from 1 species